GCUGGAAAGGGAAGAGUAACAUUACAACCCUCUUAUCUGGCCAUUACUAUUAAAUGCAUUUCAGAGUCACUUCAGCACCAGUUGGUGCUCUUAUUAAAAAAACAAAACACACAUUAAAAUUGUUUAAGCUCUACGGUUGGCUGCACAUUCAUCCUGUGGGAAAAUACUGCACACAAGGGGACAGAAUUAAGGUUGGGUGGGCAACUAUAAAUCUGGCAUUUUCUAACAGUGAGUGCUUGAUACUGCAACCUAAAUGUUCUUUUAACUUGGAAAUUACCUUUUUCAAAAGAAAAGUUUAAAAAAAAAUGUGCAAGCGUAUCAAGCCCCACCUUCCCACAACUACUUCAUAAACAAGGUUUGAUCACUGAAGUUCCAGGGCAGACAUUAGCUGGAAGCAGCAGAAAAGGGUGGGGAGAAAGAGAAGGACUGGACCACUGAGUCCUGGGGUGGCUGGUGGGCCAUAUACCCACGCUUGUUCUUACCUCCGCUCUCUUCCACUCCCUUGUUGAUGAAAUUUUGAAGCAUGAACUACUCAAAAGUCACAAGCAUCCUUUAAGAUGGACACGUUAGGGACCCUAAAUCUAGGGAUCACUACCAACAUCCUCUAUAGAGAUGUUCAGAGGGGCGGUGCGAUGGCGUUAAGUCCGAGCAGGUAAGAAUCAAUUUCUUUGUGCUUUAGAAAAAGUUGUACCUGCACUCAGGGAAUGGAUGUUCAGAUUAGGCCAAAGCAGGGGACCCUGAGAGAGAAGUCCCUGACAUGUGGAUGGAGAAUUUUUCCUCUUGUGAUGCUAAUGUAAAUGGGGUACUCCUAUGUUCAAAGAGAAAGUGAAGAGUCAUGGGGCGUGUGUGCAGUGAGAACACCUCCCAAGGGCAAAUGGACUUUGAGUGAAUGUUUUUUUCAGUUCUCUUAGAGAUGGUGCUGGCCUGCCUCAAUUCUUGCUAAGGCGAUCUCGCAAUUAAACUCUAGUUCUUCUCUAGACCUAGAAAAGAAAGAGGAGGCUGCUGCACUUACAUUUAACCCCAACUACUUAUAAAGGCAGCCUGAACACGAGUAACCACUUUUGAUACUUGCUGGCAUUUAUUUCGUCUGGGGACAGUUUACUUUACAGGGGAGUCUUCUGCAGAACAGCCUAACUGGUGCAUCAGACUAGUGGCUUAUGUGUCUGCCAGCACACAUCGCUUCAAAGAGUGGGGGUCGACUGCUAUAAAAGCCCAAGCCAAACCUGAGGGAGGGUGGCUGGGUUAGGGACAGCAAAUAUCAAAAAAAGCCUCUACUUGUUCGAUAUAAAUUCUCCUGAGUUGUAGCCAUGGAUGAUGGAGGUUUAAUUGAUGAUAUACUCAGCUGUAGGGACAAAACUGUAAAGGGCAGCUCUAGUAUCGAGCAAAUUUACUUGGAGUUAAAUUCUGCAGCUGUCUUGUUACUGAAAUAUUACCAUACCUGUCUAAAUUUAAAAUAGCUGGUUGCCCAAGAAUUAAACCAUUUGAUUUUUACUACUCUAUUUUGAGGUAGUGAAAUCCAUACAUGAGAAGUGGUUGUUCAAAUCUUCUUUGAAGCUAGAUAAAACACUUCCUUUCCCCAGGAUUAACAUUAAGAUGACAGCUCUCUUAAUGGGGGAGGACUAGUUCACGUACAAUCGUUUGGAAUCACUUACUUCUAUCUUUACUCCUCUCUGUUGGGGAAUUCUGCUGGAUACUGCUGUCACUGCUGCCAGAACGAUGGCGUGGUCUUCUGCCCUUUAUCAAGACGGCCCGAUAUACCUGCAAAAAGUCAGAGAUAAACAAAUUGAAGGAAGCCAUAUAUGCAAGCAGCAAAGGAAUGCUACUUCAUCUCGAUACUCACCUGCUGGGAAAGACUUGCUCAGGUUCACUAUGAGGCCUUCAUAUCCCAAAUGCCCAACGGCUGAACGACUAAGGAGUGCCAUCUAAACUGAACAAGGCCUCUUGAAACUUAUAACAAGGAUUAAAAAAAUGGAAUAGCUGUUACUUCUCACACUUACCUCCUCACAGGUAGGAACUUUGUUCUCAUUAUCUCGGAUUCUGUCCCACAAUGGAGAUUCACGUUUCCACGCCAUACUCUCCAAGAUUUGCUCUUCAAUAUGAUUAAGGUGUUUUACCACCUCUCUACAAAGGCCAUCUUCUGCUCUAAUAAAAAUCUCUAUUACCUGUGAAGUGAGUAGAUAUGAAACCUACCUAUUACAAUGUUAAAUCAGGACAUUGUGUGACCAAUACAAUAAGUGAGAUCAUCAUACCUUUCAUGUUGUUCCCUUUCAAACAGGUUUAUAUUAAAUUUGUGAAGCAUCACAUUAAUCCCGACAGAAAAAGGUCUGUUCUAACUCAAUAAUAGUAUGUAACUGUCAUACUAGUUCCCCAACAGCUAGAUACAAUUAAAUCUACAUCAAUCAAUCACUAUAAUUACAACUCUGUCAGACCAAAGUUACAUGAUUUGAAGAUAAAUGUUUAUUUUCAAUAAGUCAAGAAGUAAAAUAGGAAGUGCCCAUUAAUCCAUGUAAAUGUUGUGGUCCAGUGCCAUUAUUUUUUAACUAGACAAUUUGGACACUACCAAUGCAUUACACAGUUAACAACAGUACAUGAUUUUUCCAGUUUAAAUUUCUCCACCAAAACAAAAAACCCCACCCCACAUAUGAUCGUUUUCAUAACUUAGAAAUUUAAGCAAUUUCACAUCCAACUGAGGAAAAAGUAUCUUGCUUCAAGAAAAAAGUCUGUAGAAGUAACCAGCAUGACUGGUAAUCAUCACUUCACAUGAUCAAAGCCAUUUACCUUAUAAAAGUGAUAAACAGGUACAUCAAAGAUUUCCGUAAUUAAUGGGAAAGUUCCAGGAGGCUUGUAUGAAAAAGUAAUUAUCUCAAGGCAACAUGCCAGGAGAGACCUGUGAAGCACAUCCUGCUCCAGUAUUGCCUGCAAUACAAAUAUUAAAAUAAACUUCAGCCUAGCUUAGAAAAACAUGUCUACAUUGAAGAAAAAAGGCAAACAAAUAGUCUUUGGUUUGAACUUUAUUGUAUUAAAAAGUUAGAUUUUUUUUAAAACAAAUAUUGUAUAACAUUGUUUGAAUUUACAUACUCACAUGCAUUAACAACUCUAAUUACAGAUGGGUAAAUUGCAUUCUAUUCUGCCUUUGCAUCAUAAGCAAAAUUGUCACCUAAGUUCUGCGGCCAGAACUGAAUCCAGAGUCAGUGUGCAAUGCCAGUUAGAAAUAUCAUCUUUGCACUUGCAAACUAAACAAUCUAAUAUGGAAAUUGCUAAGAAAAUAACUUCACUAUGGAGUUAUCUUCCCUACUAAUUUUGAAUGGCUUAACAGCAUUUGUCAUGCUGUGCAACUAGUUCUUUCUGAAAGAAACAAGUUUAAAAGUGAAUUAUCUGAUUGAUGACUGAUUUUACUUACUGAUAAGUCAGUGUCUCCUAAUCUUCUCCUUUCCUGCUCAAUGACAGACUCUAAUACCUUGUAGUAAAGAACCUCAGCAAGACGAAAAUGCUUGCCAGCAUUAUCUGCAAGAGGAAAAAGAUAAUGAAAAAUGCUAUUAAAAACACUCUGUAUAUUUGAUUUAAGGUGCACCUAUUGCCAUUAGUUUUUUUACUAUUAGCUUUUUUCAUAAAAAUGAGGAUAAAAAUGACUUUAUUAAGCUACAGUAACAAAUGUUGUGAUUACGUUUAUAUAGCUUUUCAGCUUGGGAGAUCCCCAAAUGCUUUAUGAUGGGGUGGGGAUGGUAAGGAGGUAGAAGAAGACUGCAGGGAAAGUGAAGAAUAGCUUUUAUUACUGAAGCCUCAGGGGGAAGUUUAGGAAGGCAGAAUUUAACCGCAACAGAAGCUGGAAUUUGACCAGGACACCAGAGCUAACAAUCACCCUUAAUCUUGCUAUUUAACACAAUCUUUUGGUGAAUUUUACUAUAAGUACAGAAGAGGUGCAUCAGUAUCUCAAGGUACAGAUACUCCUUCAAAUUUCUAUUGAGUACAAACAAUAAAAAGAAAGUAGCUUUAGUAACUGGUAGAUACAAAAUGUCCCAUAUUGAUAGAGGGAAAUUGUCCCCCAUGUUUGUCCUUCAGUAGCUGAACUGUUUUCACAGGGAAAUCUGACUUACAACAUUCUGAUAAAUUUUGAAAAUAACUUGCUCUUUUGGUUGUGCUUAUAAGCUUCCAAUAUAUCUGCCAAAAUUUUCAAUACAGUGAAUAGCUUUUUCUCUUCUCUUGGAUUCUUCUUGUAUUAAUUCUAAACUUAAUAUCUAGGUUUGGAAGGAGUUUUAUUGGUAAAUGUCAAAUGUCUAUUUCACCAUAUGCACAAGCCAUUGAAAAAUAUUUACACUGACAAUAACAAAUGUACAGAUAGGCAAAGAAAAAAAUGCUGCUUGAGAAUGUAGAGUUUGAUUGAAGCAUAUUUACCUUCUAUAUUUUGACAUGUGAUGUUGACAAGUUGUUUUAAUGGUUACAUGUUUUGAAUCAACAGCUACUGUCACUAAAUAAUUUGUCUGACUCCCGCCUACCCUAAUUUUCCACCGCUAUGAAAAUUUAAAUGGAUACAAAUAGAAAAAAAAUGCUUGAAUAAACAUUGAGAGUCAAAAUUAUAACAAAAAUUAAAACCAAGCCUAACUCUUUCUAAUAA